rnacentral:lncRNA from 1 species
AAUCUAAAUUAUGUUAUUUUGCCUGGUGACUUAUGAUCUAUAUCUGAAGUUCUGGCUUCUCUUUUUUUCAAAAAAAAUUAUUUUAUGUAUGAAUGCUCUAUCUGCAUACUAGAAGAGAGCAGCAGAUCCCAGUAUAGAUGGUUGUGAGCCACCAUGUGGUUGCUAGGAAUUCAAUGCAGGACCUCUGGAAGUGCAGACAGUGCUCUUAACCUCUGAGCCACCUCUCCAGCCCCUGAUUUAUUUCUUGAAUUCAUUUCUUACCAUUUCUCUUUGGAUUCUAGAAGUUAAACAAUGGGUAGCUAUGUUGAACAUAUACUUGUACAUUUAGAGCAGAGGUUCUCAACCUUAAUGCUGUGACCCUUUCAUACAGUUCCUUAUGUUGUGAUGACCUCCAACCAUAAAAUUAUUUCAUUGCUACUUCAUAACUGUAACUUUGUUACUGUUAUGAAUUAUAAUGUAAAUAUCUGAUAUGCAGGAUAUCACACAUGCAACCCCCAAGGGGUCUCAACCCAUUAAGUUGAAAACCACUGCUCUAGAGCUUAGAAUGAAGGCACUCAUGGCAUUGAAUGUCUCAUAUGAUUAAAGAUGAUUGACAAGGCUUCAUCUUACCUAAACUGUAUAUACCCAAACUAUCCAAGGUCUUAGCUGAUUCCAAGUUAGUUUCCUGAUUUUCCCUUCAAAUGUUCGAUACCAGGAGUCAGGGCCGAGGGUAAAGAACAUGACUGAACAUGAGUAUCAGUGCUCUGGUGAGGCGUAGUAGUGUACACCUGUAAUCACAGCACUCAGGAAGCUACGGCAGGAGGAUUUGAAGUGCAGGGCUAGUCUGGACUACAUAGCAAGACUGUCCCAAAUCAUCAUCAUCAUCAAAUAAAUAAUAUUCACUUCAUUGAUAACUUGUACUUAUGGCUGGCACCGUGCUAAGCACUUAAUGUGCAUUUGAGUUUAGAAACAAUUCUGAGAAGAACUUUUAAUAAAUAAAAUGAAAUGUCACAUAAACAGGCUAAGUAAAUUGUGUGGCUGCUAUAAGUGGGAUAAGGUUCUUGUGCCGGUAGCGUGGUUAGGCUAGCUUGGAUUGCCAGUUUAGAAUAAAUUUCUCUUGUUAUGAGAUAGGAAGCUUAACUUUUUCCCCAUGCACUUAUGUUGGUUCUUCAGAUGGGUUUCACUCUAGUUUAGGCUGGAAUUGAAGGCUUCUUUUACCCCACAUUGACCUCAGCCUUGAAAUCUUCCUGCCUCAGGUUCACAAGUGUCAGGUAAGCAACAUCAGACUGGAUCUUGUUCCUCCUGGAAAAACGAGUGAAGGGCACUUGAUGUAGUGGGCCAUACCUAUAAUCCUCCCACUUGAUAGGCUGAGAUAGGAGGAUAGUUCACAAGGCUACUGUGAGUUUCAGAACAGCCUGUACUGCACAGUGAGGCCCUGCCUCAAAACAGAACAAAUAGAGAAAAACAAUGUUUUCAAAUUCUGAGGAAGUCGGUAUGAACCCAUGCCGCUGAGGAUCUGUCUGCCUCUGCCUCCCGAGCACUGGGACUAAAAGAGGGUACAUCACCACAUCUUGUUGAGAUCUACCUAUUUUUAAGAUUUCAUAUAGAUUUGUAAGGCAUCAUGGCACAUGUGAGUUCAAGCCCAGCCUGGUUCACAUAUUGAGCUCUAGGCCAGCCAGGUCUGCAUAGGGAGAUCCUGUCUCAAAAUAAAACAUCUCAUAUAAAUGAUAUUAUAUAAUAUAUGGCCUUUUAUGUUUGUUUUUAUUUAUUUAGUGUAAUGCCUUCAUUGCUAACACAUACUGUAGACUGUAAAUACUUCACUUCCUUUUUCGAAGUGAAUAAUCGCCCCUUAUAUGAUCAUUUGUCCCCUCCCACUACUUACCUGUUGUGAAUGAUGUAUAUACGUUUUACCUACAUUAAUGUAAAUACAUCUUGUGUUCAACAUCCAUGGAGAAGAGAAUAGUGCACCAGAUCCCUUGGAAUUAGAAUUAGAAACAGAUGUGAGCCAUUAUGUGGGGGCUGAGAACCAAACUCAGGCAAAACUCCCCCUCUUAAAUGUGGUUUCACUUUCUGCAGUGCCUGCAAAAGUAGCAAGUGAUCUUCAGCACUAAGCCAUCUAUCUCCAGCUUCAGCCUCUUAAAUGCUGGGAUUUGUAGGCAUAGACCACCACGGUCAGAUUCUUGGCUUCUAAAUUUUCAAAGUGGUAGUCAGAGGCUAAUUAAAAGCCUCCUGGGGUAUGUGUUUGUCUAUGUAUUUGUGUCUGUCUCUCUGUCUCUGUGUUGAUGCUUGGGAUCAUAUUAGGGGACGUGGACAUGCUAGGCAAGCAACAUCUUCAGCUCUUAGCUGCUGUCUUUGUGGGUUUUGGUUUGCUUUUGAGUCUCACUAUGUAGACUAUCUGCCUCUAACUAAUGACUGAUCCUCCUGCUUUAACUUUCAGAGUGCUUUGGCUACUCUUUAAAAACAAAAUAAAACAAAACCUUUUUGGGGGCUGGAGAGAUGGCUCAGUGGUUAAGGGCACUGACUGCUCUUCCAGAGGUCCUGAGUUCAAUUCCUAGCAACCACAUGAUGGCUCAUAACCAUCUGUAAUGUGAUCCAAUGCCCUCUUCUGGUAGGUCUGAAAGCAGCUACAGUGUACUCAUAUAAAUGAAUCUUUAAAAAAACAAAACC